GGAUGCAGGAGUUUCUUUGGGUGACCAAGAUAUUUGUGUGCAGGGAGGGUUGGGUGUGGGGCUCACUGUCAAUGCAGAGCAUGUGCCAAAGACCCCUGUGCUCCCUGUGGUCAACACUGAGGCUGGCAAAUUUGUCUGUGACUCUUGUGAUUAGGUUGCAGGAGAACAGCAGUUUCUCACGGAGCAUCAAGGACAGUCUCCACCUCCCCAGGACCGUCGGUCCCAAGUCUGUUCUUUAGCUGCGCAGAUGAGAGAUAUUCCAGCUUGUUUGUGUGCUGAUGACACGAUCCCAAGAGGAGAUCCUGCAGGAGCAAAAUGCCGGCCUGGGCCAGAGAGAUGAGCGGUACCAACAGCGGCCGCCUUAGAUGGCAGUGGACAGUCCACCCACAGGACGGCAGCGGACCCAGUCGCAGGCCUGGGAGACCAGGCAGGGAGCUGGGAGGCUCUUUCGUCCUCAGGCAUAGGGAGCAGUGUUACCAGCUCAUGGGAGGAAGCAAGUGGGAGGUUUGAGGAGAGAGAAGAGGUGAGGCGGGACUAGGGGAAGUGACAAACACGCAGCCAUCCUCCCCAGCAGGUGGGGGCCUGCUGCCGCCACUCCCUGGACUCUGCUGCCAGCUCACGACGUGUCGUGAAUAAUAUGGUCUGUAUCAGUUUACAGAGAGCUGCUUCGUCCCUGGCAAUGGCCGCAGAGCAUGCCAGCAUAUGGACGUUACAUAACUUGUUGUUCCUAUUUAUUUACCACAUUAUAUCUACGGCGGCAGUCCCUGCUGAUGAAAAUGUAGGCGGCUUCCAGGGCUGGAAUGCACGUGCACAUGUCCUUUGAAGGGCGGGUGCUUAGCUAUGGAAUUGCUGGAACAAAGUAUGUGUGCCCUACUAACUUCAAUGAACAAGGGAUUUGUCCUCCUUGGAGGCUGAUCGGUUUGCACUUCCCCCAAGAUGUGUGGAUACCCUGUCUCCCCCCACGCCCACCAACACAAUCUAUUUCUAGCUUUGACACUUGCCAGCCUGCGAGGUGAAAAAGUGCCUCAUUGUACUUAUACCGUGCAUUUCUCUUGCUAUGAUUGAGGAUUAACAUCUUUGGGUACAUCUGUAUUUCUUUUUCAGUUACCUUUCUGUGAAUUGUCUAUUUGUAUUGGGGUGUAGAUCAUUUUUAAAAAGCUACUUAUAAGAGCUCUUUACAUAUUAAAGAAAUUGUCUCCUUGUCGGUGCUGUGGGUUGCAAA